GGUGGCCCGUGAGAUGAGUCGGCUGACAGAUGAUGAGCGCGACCAGGUGAUCUGUGAUGGAAAGUGUGCGGCUCUGCAUAUUCUGGGAUUGGCACUCUAUCCAAGGGUGCACCUGUGGUGUGGUCACCUUAAUGUUCAUACUCCUGAGAUGAUCAGUAAGCUCAGUAACAAAUGGAGGGUGAGGAUACUGUUGAGGUGGCAUCCACGGGAAUGAGUCUUGAACUGCUGCGCCAACAGGAGGUGGAUAUGAGACUGGUGGCGGUGGCGGAGGAAAUGGCUCACCAGCUCGAUGAGGAUGGAGUGGGGGAGAUGAGUCAGGCCAAGGCACAUCUUGCGGGUCAUCCUCAGACGAGAUACUUCAAAAUCUCGCGAUAAGCUCCCACCUGGCACCUGGAAGUGACCCCUGCAUCCAUGGUGACUCCUGCUCAUGGAUGUAUUUUGCAUCCGUGCUCUUGCUCCUAGACAAUUUCAACUACGGGAUCAAUAAGGAGUGCACCAUACUCCUGAGCUGGACCAGAGAAGCCAUGCAUCCCCUAGCCCGCACCAGAGAAGCAGUGCAUCCCCUAGCCCCUACCAGAGAAGUCGUGCAUCAUCCAUCCCUGGUGGGAAAUUCUUGUUACAUAAAGCAAAGAUAUGAGUAUUUCUGUACUUGCUUCUGUUUGUAUGUGCCAGUACCUGCUUUUUGCCAGUAAUUGUUUUGAUUACAAUAAAUGUACACCUUUCUGAUCUGUUGUGUGAUAGUGGAGUGGAGAGUCAGCAGCUGGAUUUUGCACCCACGGUCAAUAGUAUUAGUAGGUGUAUAGGCAAACAAACAAACAAUAACCACAACGACCAUUAUUCAUUGUAUUAUUACAUUUGUGGGAAGUUAUUACAAUAAAGAUUUUCACUUCCCCACAAACGUAAUAAAUCCCUGCAAACGUAAUAGUUAUUACAUUUGUGGGAAAUCGUGUGUUACAUUUGUAGUAGGCAGCGGCUAUUACGUUUGUGGAAAAUUUAUUACGUUUGUGGGUUUAUUACAUUAAAUGCUGCAGAUUUUUAUUACGUUUUUGGUUUAUUGUGUUUGUGGACAGUUAUUACAUUGGCGGGCAUUACAAGGCACUCACUUUUUUCUUUUUUCUUGGUAAGAAUAUCAGUUCUACUUGGGAAAAAAUAAGAUGUCCAGGGUUCCCAUGGUCAUGGAAAACCUGGAAAAGUCAUGGAAUUUUAAAAUGUCAUUUCCAGGCCUGAAAAAGUCUUGAAAUGAAGUAAAAUCAUCAAAAGUUUUUGAAAAGUCAUGGAAUUUAAUUUUGUUGUCUGAAGGCUAUCUUACAUUUAGUGAUGACCUCAUGAAGCCUCAUGAAGCAUUUUCUUUAUUUUCUGAGCCCACUAGAUGGCACUCUUGGUUUCGAGAGAGGCUCAAAGGAUGGCAAUUCAGAGUGUUUUAAAACUUUUGUUGAACAGAAAGCGCCAUCUCUCCAAAGUCUGUCCUCUGAGUGCCUCCACUUCUUGCGCUUCCUUCAGGAGAUACAUGAUGUGCUGAGACAUCUCUUUCACAAGGAUGCUCUGCUCCUCCUCCAAGGGUUUCAGCAGCAUUGACUGGUCAAAGACAGACCUCUUCAACCUGAGGGUGUUGCCUUUAGGUUAAGGAAAGGAAUGGAGUAGUGGACAAGAAAUAUUUAUUAUUAUAUUAUACAUAUAUUAUUAUAACUGAAUGAUGUUUAUUUCUGAGACACAGAUCUAUGUAGGAAUGGCAUUGGUUUUCUUGAAUGUAAACAAUUAAAAAAAUAUAUCAUUACAAAGUGACAAUCUUAUUUGGAUGGAAAGCUUGUUAAAUUGUGAUGGUAAAGUGUCUCAUUUGUGAUUACUACAGCAUGGUAUUAAUAUCACCAUAACCUUUUCUGCCCCAUGAUGAUGGUGAUGAUGGUUCUGAUGGUGAUGAGGGAUGGUUCGCCCAUGGCGUAAAACUAGCCAGGACCGCCUCUGAUGGUGUUGUAUUGCAAGACCUUUUCACAAAGCUUCUUCUUCAGCUCUGUCAUUUUCUU